UGGGGAACCUGCCCCAUAGUCUGGGAUACCACUUGGAAACAGGUGCUAAUACCGGAUAAGAAAGCGGAUCGCAUGAUCAGCUUUUAAAAGGCGGCGUAAGCUGUCGCUAUGGGAUGGCCCCGCGGUGCAUUAGCUAGUUGGUAAGGUAAAGGCUUACCAAGGCGAUGAUGCAUAGCCGAGUUGAGAGACUGAUCGGCCACAUUGGGACUGAGACACGGCCCAAAUUCCUACGGGAGGCAGCAGCA
rnacentral:rRNA from 1 species